CAGUAGCCGCGGUAAUACGAGGGGGGCAAGCGUUAUUCGGAAUUAUUGGGCGUAAAGGGAGCGUAGGCGGUUUUGUAAGUCGUGUGUGAAAUCUUCAGGCUCAACCUGAAGUCUGCACACGAAACUGCAGGGCUUGAGUAUGGGAGAGGUGAGUAGAAUUCCUGGUGUAGCGGUGAAAUGCGUAGAUAUCAGGAGGAACACCUGUGGCGAAAGCGGCUCACUGGACCAUUACUGACGCUGAGGCUCGAAAGCUAGGGGAGCAAACAGGAUUAGAUACCCCCGUAGUCCCUGUCUCUUAUAC
rnacentral:rRNA from 1 species